CUGGUGUUCAGUCUUCUUUGGGGCCAGGCUUGCUUUUUUGUCCCCUGGUAGAGGGAACUGGACUUACAUGCUUUUACUUGCACACCCGAGAUAUGCAGUCUGCUAUUCUUGGCACUUCCUAUAUUCCUUUACUACCUCAUUGACCUGCAGCUACUUCCGGGGUCUGCUGGGGAUUGCAUUUUUUCGUCUAUAGAACACAACAAGCCAGAGAGAGUCCGGAGCUUCUCGUACAGACCCAGAGUUGCAGUUCUAUACGGGAUUCUGAAAGCUGCUGUCUAAGGAUGGACACAGAGCAGAGUGGGAAAAUGGAAAUGGAUCACACCAGCGUAAACAACGGAACAGAAGCUAAAGCCGUUCACCCCAGGACUUACGUUAGCUCCUACAACAGGGACCCCUGGUUUUAAGUCAUCAUUCUACAAUUUUUAACAUGGGAAAUCUGAAUGUUUCUUCCUGGCAUGUGUGUCAGGUCCGACAGAUGGUCUGUUGAUGUAGGUUCAUGUUGACCAGGACCUCAUGUGUUUGGACCCACUGGGUUCACCGGAGAGUUUCUCACAGAAUCCUGGCCUAUGUCUGCGUUGCAGUUUCUCUGUCUUUGUGGUGCAUAUCCUGUUGAUUCUAUUUAUAAUGGCAGAAUAAUAAAGUAUCUGUGGAUUACACUCAUGCUAUUGAUAUGUACUAGAUACCUUGGCCAAGAUAAUAAUAAGUCAGGCAAAGCCAAGUAUAUUUUAGCUUUUAAACAAGGAUAUGUCUUUACUACCUGUGCUAAUGAAUCCUGUCUUCCAGGAUUAAGAGGAUAGGGGGAUGCAUGGGAAAUUAUUUUUGAAGGAAAAUAGAAUGCUAUCUAGAGUGUAGAAAGCAACCAUAGACAUUAUUAAAGGACCAGCAUUUCGACACAAGCCCUAUAAAAGCCUUGUGCGUGAUCGGUUGCUUGUUAUUAGUUUUUAGCCUUUGCAGUCUGUGGGGACUUUGCUGGCGUGGGUUUCUCGUUUAGUGGAGUGCAGCCAGCUGCAUUGUGCACUGUUCUAUGGAGACAUUGUGCUUCAUUCCUAUUUACCUCAUCCUUGUGGGCAAACAUCUGCUUUUCUGUCUUGUUAGAACAGCAGCUGGAUUUCUGGAAUUCUUUGGCUGUCUGGUAUUUUCUUCUGCAUAUUAAUAUGAUUACAUUGCACGCAGGGUUCUCUCUUUCCUUUCAAGAUAAAUAUCUCCCUAAUACUGCAGGAUCAUAAAAGUUACACAGGUUUGUUGUGAAAUAGUUAAGCUAUGGAAAAAAAAUAGAAAUAUUAGGAACAACAGUGUCAAACCCCUAGUGAAUUAACAUUGGUAAUAUGAUAACAUGCUGGCAAUCUUUCCUAUAGGUUUCUCUAUGCAUAUGUAUUUACAUAUAAAUGUAUGUUACAUAAGGAUCUAAAAUUAAAUAUAAACAUAAUUUUAUGGAAAUUACAUACAAGCCCUCUUGUAACCUUUUUCCAUACUAAUAAUGUGUGCCUAAAACCACUGUUUUAAUGCCUGCAUUGUCUGUCUUGUAUUUAAAAUACAACCUUGCACUGGGCAGGUCUUCAAUCAGUAAUGUCAAAUGAAUGAAAACAAUAGCUUAUCUACUCAACUUCUGGGGCUGAGAUGUAGCUCAGGGGUAAAGUUUUUUCCUUCCAGGUCCUGGGUACCAUUGCCAGCACCAAAGAAAACCAAAACAAAGACAACGGACCCCAAUCUCCUACUCGUGGACACGGGUGAUCUCUGAGGUUUCACUAUUAAGGACCACACAACAGUGGAUGCCCUUUGUGUCUUCUGUUCAAGUAAAAUUUGUGCAAGUUGACUCCACAGCUGGAAACAGCGGAGUUUACUGGUGUGGUGGUUUGAAUAUGCUUGACUCAGGGAGUGGCAUUAUUAGGAGGUGUGGCCUUGUUGGAGGAAGUGUGUCACUGUUGGGGUGGGCUUUGAGACCUUCCUCCUAGCUUCCUGGAAGUCAGUUUUCUCCUGUCGGCCUUUGGAUCAAGACAUAGAACUUUCAGCUCCUCCAGUCUCUCAUCUGCCUGGAUGCUGCCACACCCCCGCCUUGAUGAUAAUGGAAUGAACCUCUGAACCUGUAAGCCAGUCCCAAUUAAAUGCUGGCUUUUACACUUGGUCAUGGUGUCUGUUCACAGCAAUGGAACCCUAACUAAGACCGCUGGUGAAUGCUCAAAUACACCCAAGCCAUCUGUUCACAAUUAUUAACAAAAGGUGUCUGUUUCAAUACAUUCUCCCCAAUGGAAUCACUCUUGC
rnacentral:lncRNA from 1 species